rnacentral:lncRNA from 1 species
ACUAUGCAAAUGUCCUGCCUUUGAGUCGAGCUGUUUGGUUAUAUUUUUCUAUAGUAUCUUUAAAGUGCAUCUCCGCAAGAGCAGCUGAGGUAAUGAGUGCUCCUUGCUUGCAGCUAUCUUUCCAAAGGCAGCCACCAAAAUAAGGGAAAGCAUUCAUCAGUGAAACUGAACUAGAUGCCAGCAGCUACGUUGGCACCGUCAAGCAGAGACGGACAGCGGAGUUCCUGCUGACACAAGGCAGAAGCCAAGGAGGGUGACUGACACUAAGAAGAUUGUGGUUGAUUUUUGGAGCUAGCAGCCAAAUGAAUAUUGCAGAUAAACACACUGUCAACUCUGUCCUUAUGAUCCUGACAUCGACUUCAGUUCUAAACUUGGAAAGAUGCACUUAGACACACAAAGCUCUUUUGGAAUGACGUUAUUUUAAAAGGGGGUGAAACAAUAAUUGAUCUCCCAAUAAAAUUCUAUUUGGACAUUCA